CCUGGAUUUUGGAAUCCGACUAAACGCCGCUGCCGCUGUUAGAGUUGAUGUUGCUCUGGCCUUGCCCUGGCUCCAUCUUAAACCGUGAGAACCGCUACUGUUGGUAAGUGACAUUGUCGCUUCCUUUACUGGAGAUAGUUGCUGGCUCAGUUUGGAGAUUCUGUUGCAACUAGUGUUCGUUUUGGGAACUGCUUCACCUGUUGCUGGAACCACUAACGAAACAGGCUGAGUCACGGUGAUUCUGGCUGCCAAGGGCGGUUCUGUGGCUGUCAGAACCACCGCGGAGGCUUCUGUUCUUUAGUUCAGACGGUAUUCUUUAGUUACAGAUUAAGUUAUUGGAGCCACAUGUUGCGCGUAAGGGUUGUCCUUGCUGUUGCGAAAGUGAACAAAGCUGUGAUGUAAGCUGCCGGUAAAUUCGGGUUGAUUGAGAGUCCGGUGACACGUUUGGGUUAUGGGAUUUGCGUUUUGAGGAUAUGGGCGCAGAAGUUACGAAGAGCUUAUUUAAUUGUUGUUGUGAU